UUCAAAGUCAGGUGCUGUGUUUCAGGUGCUGAUUCAAAAUACAGCUGCUGUAUUUUCUAACAUAAGUCUGUAAUUGAAGGGAUGAAGAUGAGCCUUCCAAAAUAGAAGAUCCUGAUGCUGUAAAGCCUGAGGGAUGGCUUGAUGAUGAAGCACAGUAUGUUCCAGACCCUAAUGCAAAAAAACCAAAGGACUGGGAUGAAGAUAUGGAUGGGGAGUGGGAAGCCCCUCAGAUCCCUAAUCCAAAGUGUGAGGCUGCACCUGGUUGUGGCCCAUGGGUGCGUCCCAUGAAGAAUAACCCAAACUAUAAAGGGAAAUGGAAAGCACCUUUGAUAGACAAUCCGAACUAUCAGGGAGUCUGGAGCCCUCGGAAAAUACCAAACCCAGACUAUUUUGAAGAUAGUCACCCAUUCAAGAUGACUGCUGUCAGUGCUAUUGGUUUAGAACUCUGGUCU